CCUACGGGUGGCAGCAGUGAGGAAUAUUGGUCAAUGGCCGGAAGGCUGAACCAGCCAUGCCGCGUGAAGGUCAGUGCCCUAUGGGCGUUAAACUUCUUUUGUGCGGGAGCAAUAAUGGUCACGUGUGGCCAGACGAGAGUACCGUACGAAUAAGCAUCGGCUAACUCCGUGCCAGCAGCCGCGGUAAUACGGGGGAUGCAAGCGUUAUCCGGAUUUACUGGGUGUAAAGGGGGCGCAGACGGCAAUGCAAGCCAGGAGUGAAAGCCCGGGGCCCAACCCCGGGACUGCUCUUGGAACUGCAUGGCUGGAGUACAGGAGGGGCAGGCGGAAUUCCUAGUGUAGCGGUGAAAUGCGUAGAGAUCAUACAGAACACCGAUUGCGAAGGCAGCUUACCAAACUAUAUCUGACGUUGAGGCACGAAAGUGUGGGUAGCAAACAGGAUUAGAUACCCUGGUAGUC
rnacentral:rRNA from 1 species